AACGCGAAGAACCUUACCAAGGUUUGACAUGCAGGGAAAAGCCGUAGAGAUACGGUGUCCGUAAGGGUCCUGCACAGGUGGUGCAUGGCUGUCGUCAGCUCGUGUCGUGAGAUGUUGGGUUAAGUCCCGCAACGAGCGCAACCCUCGUCCUAUGUUGCCAGCGGGUAAUGCCGGGGACUCAUAGGAGACUGCCGGGGUCAACUCGGAGGAAGGUGGGGAUGACGUCAAGUCCUCAUGCCCCUUAUAUCUUGGGCUGCAAACAUGCUACAAUGGCCAGUACAGAGGGCUGCGAGACCGUAAGGUGGAGCGAAUCUCAAAAAGCUGGUCUCAGUUCGGAUUGGGGUCUGCAACUCGACCCCAUGAAGUCGGAGUCGCUAGUAAUCGCGAAUCAGCAACGUCGCGGUGAAUACGUUCCCGGGCCUUGUA
rnacentral:rRNA from 1 species